rnacentral:rRNA from 1 species
GUAGGUGGCAAGCGUUGUCCGGAAUUAUUGGGCGUAAAGCGCGCGCAGGGCGGUCCUUUAAGUCUGAUGUGAAAGCCCACGGCUCAACCGUGGAGGGUCAUUGGAAACUGGGGGACUUGAGUACAGAAGAGGAAAGCGGAAUUCCAAGUGUAGCGGUGAAAUGCGUAGAGAUUUGGAGGAACACCAGUGGCGAAGGCGGCUUUCUGGUCUGUAACUGACGCUGAGGCGCGAAAGCGUGGGGAGCAAACAGGAUUAGAUACCCUGGUAGUCCACGCCGUAAACGAUGAGUGCUAAGUGUUUGGGGGUUUCCGCCCCUUAGUGCUGCAGCUAACGCAUUAAGCACUCCGCCUGGGGAGUACGGCCGCAAGGCUG